GCGUCGGUGGUAUAACAGCUAACAUAGCUGCCUUCCAAGCAGUUGACCGGGUUCGACUCCCGGCCGACGCA
rnacentral:tRNA from 13 species